CUUGCCAUAGAGACCCCACCCUGAGCACACCUGAGCUCAUCUAAUCUCAGAGGCUCAGCAGGGUCGGGCUGAGUUGGGACUUGGACAGGGAAAGUCACUCCUCGAGUAUAUGGAGAGG
rnacentral:rRNA from 1 species